rnacentral:rRNA from 1 species
AGGUAAGCUACUAAGAGCGAAUGGUGGAUGCCUUGACUGGUAAAGGCGAUGAAGGACGUACUAGACUGCGAUAAGCUACGGGGAGCUGUCAAGAAGCUUUGAUCCGUAGAUUUCCGAAUGGGGCAACCCAAUGUAUAGAGAUAUACAUUACCUAUAUAGGAGCGAACGAGGGGAAUUGAAACAUCUUAGUACCCUCAGGAAAAGAAAUCAAUAGAGAUUGCGUCAGUAGCGGCGAGCGAAAGCGUAAGAGGGCAAACCCAGUGCUUGCACUGGGGGUUGUAGGACUGCAAUGUGCAAGAGGUGAGUUUAGCAGAACAUUCUGGAAAGUAUAGCCAUAGAGGGUGAUAGUCCCGUAUGCGAAAAACAAACCUUAGCUAGCAGUAUCCUGAGUAGGGCGGGACACGAGAAAUCCUGUCUGAAGCUGGGUCGACCACGAUCCAACCCUAAAUACUAAUACCAGAUCGAUAGUGCACAAGUACCGUGAGGGAAAGGUGAAAAGAACUGAGGUGAUCAGAGUGAAAUAGAACCUGAAACCAUUUGCUUACAAUCAUUCAGAGCACUAUGUAGCAAUACAGUGUGAUGGACUGCCUUUUGCAUAAUGAGCCUGCGAGUUGUGGUGUCUGGCAAGGUUAAGCAAACGCGAAGCCGUAGCGAAAGCGAGUCUGAAUAGGGCGCUUAGUCAGAUGCUGCAGACCCGAAACGAAGUGAUCUAUCCAUGAGCAAGUUGAAGCUAGUGUAAGAACUAGUGGAGGACUGAACCCAUAGGCGUUGAAAAGCCCCGGGAUGACUUGUGGAUAGGGGUGAAAGGCCAAUCAAACUUCGUGAUAGCUGGUUCUCUCCGAAAUAUAUUUAGGUAUAGCGUUGUGUCGUAAUAUAAGGGGGUAGAGCACUGAAUGGGCUAGGGCAUACACCAAUGUACCAAACCCUAUCAAACUCCGAAUACCUUAUAUGUAAUCACAGCAGUCAGGCGGCGAGUGAUAAAAUCCGUCGUCAAGAGGGAAACAACCCAGACUACCAGCUAAGGUCCCUAAAUCUUACUUAAGUGGAAAACGAUGUGAAGUUACUUAAACAACCAGGAGGUUGGCUUAGAAGCAGCCAUCCUUUAAAGAAAGCGUAAUAGCUCACUGGUCUAGUGAUUUUGCGCGGAAAAUAUAACGGGGCUAAAGUAAGUACCGAAGCUGUAGACUUAGUUUACUAAGUGGUAGGAGAGCGUUCUAUUUGCGCCGAAGGUAUACCGGUAAGGAGUGCUGGAGCGAAUAGAAGUGAGCAUGCAGGCAUGAGUAGCGAUAAUUAAUGUGAGAAUCAUUAACGCCGUAAACCCAAGGUUUCCUACGCGAUGCUCGUCAUCGUAGGGUUAGUCGGGUCCUAAGUCGAGUCCGAAAGGGGUAGACGAUGGCAAAUUGGUUAAUAUUCCAAUACCAACAUUAGUGUGCGAUGGAAGGACGCUUAGGGCUAAGGGGGCUAGCGGAUGGAAGUGCUAGUCUAAGGUCGUAGGAGGUUAUACAGGCAAAUCCGUAUAACAAUACUCCGAGAACUGAAAGGCUUUUUGAAGUCUUCGGAUGGAUAGAAGAACCCCUGAUGCCGUCGAGCCAAGAAAAGUUUCUAAGUUUAGCUAAUGUUGCCCGUACCGUAAACCGACACAGGUGGGUGGGAUGAGUAUUCUAAGGCGCGUGGAAGAACUCUCUUUAAGGAACUCUGCAAAAUAGCACCGUAUCUUCGGUAUAAGGUGUGGUUCGCUUCGUAUUAGGAUUUACUCCGAAAGCGAAGAAACUUACAACAAAGAGUCCCUCCCGACUGUUUACCAAAAACACAGCACUCUGCUAACUCGUAAGAGGAUGUAUAGGGUGUGACGCCUGCCCGGUGCUCGAAGGUUAAUUGAUGGGGUU